UACGGAGGGAGCUAGCGUUGUUCGGAAUUACUGGGCGUAAAGCGCGCGUAGGCGGCUUUGUAAGUUAGAGGUGAAAGCCCGGGGCUCAACCCCGGAACUGCCUUUAAGACUGCAUCGCUUGAAUCCGGGAGAGGUGAGUGGAAUUCCGAGUGUAGCGGUGAAAUGCGCAGAUAUCGGGAAGAACACCCGUGGCGAAGGCGGUUCUCUGGGACGGUACUGACGCUGAGACGCGAAAGCGUGGGGAGCGAACAGG
rnacentral:rRNA from 1 species